rnacentral:rRNA from 1 species
UACAGAGGUCUCAAGCGUUGUUCGGAUUUAUUGGGCGUAAAGGGCGCGUAGGCGGCGGGGUAAGUCGGGUGUGAAAUCUCAGGGCUCAACCCUGAAACUGCACUUGAUACUGCUCUGCUUGAGGACUGGAGAGGAGACGUGGAAUUCACGGUGAUAGCAGUGAAAUGACGUAGAUAUCGUGAGGAAGACCAGUCGGCGGAAGGCGGGU